AUUGAACGCUGGCGGCAGGCCUAACACAUGCAAGUCGGACGGUAGCACAGAGGAGCUUGCUCCUUGGGUGACGAGUGGCGGACGGGUGAGUAAUGUCUGGGGAUCUGCCCGAUAGAGGGGGAUAACCACUGGAAACGGUGGCUAAUACCGCAUAACGUCGCAAGACCAAAGAGGGGGACCUUCGGGCCUCUCACUAUCGGAUGAACCCAGAUGGGAUUAGGUAGUAGGCGGGGUAAUGGGCCACCUAGGCAACGAUCCCUGGCUGGUCUGGGGGGAUGACCAGCCACACUGGAACUGAGACACGGUCCAGACUCCUACGGGAGGAAGCAGUGGGGAAUAUUGCACAAUGGGCGCAAGCCUGAUGCAGCCAUGCCGCGUGUAUGAAGAAGGCCUUCGGGUUGUAAAGUACUUUCAGCGGGGAGGAAGGCGGUGAGGUUAAUAACCUUGCCGAUUGACGUUACCCGCAGAAGAAGCACCGGCUAACUCCGUGCCAGCAGCCGCCGUAA
rnacentral:rRNA from 1 species